AUUGAACGCUGGCGGCAGGCCUAACACAUGCAAGUCGAACGAGUGGCGGACGGGUGAGUAAUGUCUGGGAAACUGCCUGAUGGAGGGGGAUAACUACUGGAAACGGUAGCUAAUACCGCAUACCAUCGGAUGUGCCCAGAGUGGAUUAGCUAGUAGGUGGGGUAAAGGCUCACAUAGGCGACGAUCCCUAGCGGGUCUGAGAGGAUGACCAGCCACAUGGGAACUGAGACACGGUCCAGACUCCUAAGGGAGGCAGAAGUGGGGAAUACUGCACAAUGGAGGCAAGCCAGAUGAAGCCAAGCGGCGUGUGUGAAGAAGGCCGUCGGGUUGUAAAGUACUUUCAGCUGAGAGGCGUUACCCGCAGAAGAAGCACCGGCUAACUCCGUGCCAGCAGCCGCGGUAAUUC
rnacentral:rRNA from 1 species